GGGCGAGUCAAGUGUACCUUACGGCAAAAAACAAAAUGGAAAGAAGACCGGUCAACCUAUGUUCCUCUGUACACUCAUAUGAUACAUGCAACACCCAUAGAGAGUCUACAAAACGGCAAAACAAGACAGAAACAAGACACAGGUGUCUGACUGGUCCCAAAGUUUGUCCUGCAGCAAGACUGUAACAUCUUCACAUCAUGGAAUCGGUCUGGGAUUGCAUAACGAGACACACGACAGGUUGGGACCAACAGAGCUGAAUAGCUGAGGGAGGCUGAGAGCACUAAACUCUUCACCUUUGUCCUUGGCCUCGGAGACAACAGUCAGCGCUAUCAAGCCUUUGUUGUUGUUGGCAGACAGACACUCUCCCUUGUGCUGUGGACACAUGCUUUAUACUUUACUGUGUCUUAGACAUUCAUUUCCCAAAGCAGUGUGCACCAGUGUGGGAGUUUCUGGAGACGGUUGUCUACUAACUCCCUGGAAAAGAGUCCCCUUCAAUAAGGCCGUGCAGUCAUGUAAAGCAGUAUGAGAAACAUAAUAUAGCUCUCCUAAACCUUACACGAGUUUGCCACGAUUUACCACAUCUAUGUUAAUCAUUUUUGGCUGCUUAGGAGCAGCACAGCAUGAACUAAAUAUUUACAUAUUAUCACUCUACUAAGGAAAGAGAAACAGUGGCCUGGUGAUCCCCCAGCAGUCACAGAGGAUCCAUUCGUCACAUGUACCCAUCUCAUCCUGGAGAGGAUGGAAGGGAGCUGAAGCCUAUCACAGAUGACUUUGAGCGAGAGGUGGGGUACACCCUGAACCGGUCACCAGUUCAUCACAGAGGAACACACGUAGCAAGAUGAAUGUUAUUUAUUAACUGUAUUUAUGUCUGUAUUAAUGGUAUCUGAUGAAGACGAGCACUAGUUCGACCUCCACCAACCCAAUAAGAGAAAUAUCUUGACAUUUUAACUGUUCUGUGUUUCACUGUCUUCAGCAGCUAAGCUGAUAAUAACUUUUUAUACUUGUGCCAUUAUGUGAUGUGCUCCACAUAGGGCCAAUUACCAUUAACCUUGUUAUGAUGUUAACCUGCUGUUAAUGUAAUGAAAGAUUUCUGAACAGAAAUCGGUUGAAGUGAGAUGGUUUAUGUGUUUGUUCUUUGAGAAUCUAAAUAUAUUCAUAUGCUUUC